rfam:Picea glauca, whole genome shotgun sequence.
UUUUCUAGUGGUCUUAAUGUAGUGGAUCCCAUUAGAACUCUGCAGUUAAGCGCGCUUGGGCUAGAGCAUGAUUGGAAUGGGUGACCUCUCGAGAAGUCUUAGUAAUGGAGUAU